ACGAAGAAUAUUCAACGUCUCUUAUGUUCUACCUUUGACAACUCAAGCUUCCUUGACCAGUAAAAUGGGGGUGAGGAUCUCAUCUGAGCUCACUUGAAAAUGAGUGAAUUCAAGACCAUAACCACAAUGUUUACAGUUGCAACAUGGUGAACAAACAGAUAAGGACGCUGUGGAAACUGAAAAGUUGCUGGAAUUCAAGGACAAGCUCAUGGAAAUAAAUCUACUGAGGUUGCCGAACCUGUGUGUGGCCCAGGAUGUCUGUGAACUGCAAAUGACUGGAGGAUGGGGGA